rnacentral:rRNA from 1 species
GACGAACGCUGGCGGCGUGCUUAACACAUGCAAGUCGAACGGUAAGGCCCUUUCGGGGGUACACGAGUGGCGAACGGGUGAGUAACACGUGGGUGAUCUGCCCUGCACUUUGGGAUAAGCCUGGGAAACUGGGUCUAAUACCGGAUAGGACUACGCGAUGCAUGUCGUGUGGGGGAAAGCUUUUGCGGUGUGGGAUGGGCCCGCGGCCUAUCAGCUUGUUGGUGGGGUGAUGGCCUACCAAGGCGACGACGGGUAGCCGGCCUGAGAGGGUGUCCGGCCACACUGGGACUGAGAUACGGCCCAGACUCCUACGGGAGGCAGCAGUGGGGAAUAUUGCACAAUGGGCGCAAGCCUGAUGCAGCGACGCCGCGUGGGGGAUGACGGCCUUCGGGUUGUAAACCCCUUUCAGCACAGACGAAGCGUGAGUGACGGUAUGUGCAGAAGAAGCACCGGCCAACUACGUG